rnacentral:rRNA from 1 species
GCGUGCUUAACACAUGCAAGUCGAACGGAAUUAGGGGCUUGCUCCUAAUUUAGUGGCGCACGGGUGAGUAACGCGUGGAUAACCUACCCUGGUAUCUGGGAUAACAUCUCGAAAGGGGUGCUAAUACCGGAUAAGCCCACGGGAACUUUGGUUCUUGCGGGAAAAGGUGGCCUCUAUUUAUAAGCUACUGUAUCAGGAUGGGUCCGCGUACCAUUAGCUAGUUGGUAGUGUAAUGGACUACCAAGGCUACGAUGGUUAGCUGGUCUGAGAGGAUGAUCAGCCACACUGGAACUGAGACACGGUCCAGACUCCUACGGGAGGCAGCAGUGGGGAAUUUUGCGCAAUGGGGGAAACCCUGACGCAGCAACGCCGCGUGAGUGAUGAAGGCCUUCGGGUCGUAAAGCUCUGUCAGAGGGGAAGAAGUGUAUGGGUGCUAAUACCGCUUAUACUUGACGGUACCCCUAAAGGAAGCACCGGCUAACUCCGUGCCAGCAGCCGCGGUAAUAC